AAUGGGCGAAAGCCUGACGCAGCGACGCCGCGUGUGGGAUGAAGGAGCUUUGCUUUGUAAACCACUGUCGGACGGGAAGAAAAAGUUCCUACGGGGGCUUGGGACAGUACCGUCAGAGGAAGCACCGGCUAACUACGUGCCAGCAGCCGCGGUAAUACGUAGGGUGCGAGCGUUGUCCGGAAUUACUGGGUGUAAAGGGUGCGUAGGCGGGCAUGUGCGUCGGAGGUUAAAUACAACGGCUUAACCGUUGAACUGCCUUCGAAACGGCAUGUCUUGAAUGUGGGAGAGGAUGAUGGAAUUCCUGGUGUAGCGGUGAAAUGCGUAGAUAUCAGGAGGAACACCGGUGGCGAAGGCGGUCAUCUGGCCCACUAUUGACGCUGAGGCACGAAAGCGUGGGGAGCAAA
rnacentral:rRNA from 1 species